rnacentral:rRNA from 1 species
GACGAACGCUGGCGGCGUGCUUAACACAUGCAAGUCGAACGGAAAGGCCCUGCUUGCAGGGUACUCGAGUGGCGAACGGGUGAGUAACACGUGGGUGAUCUGCCCUGCACUUCGGGAUAAGCCUGGGAAACUGGGUCUAAUACCGGAUAGGAGCCAUAUUUAGUGUGAUGGUUGGAAAGUUUUUUCGGUGUAGGAUGAGCUCGCGGCCUAUCAGCUUGUUGGUGGGGUAAUGUCCUACCAAGGCGGCGACGGGUAGCCGGCCUGAGAGGGUGGACGGCCACAUUGGGACUGAGAUACGGCCCAGACUCCGACGGGAGGCAGCAGGGGGGAAUAUUGCACAAUGGGCGCAAGCCUGAUGCAGCGACGCCGCGUGGGGGAUGACGGCCUUCGGGUUGUAAACUCCUUUCGCUAGGGACGAAGCUUUUUGUGACGGUACCUAGAUAAGAAGCACCGGCUAACUACGUG